AUGAAUCCUUCUGUGCACAUUUACCAGAAAACAAUCCUUCUGGUUUAUCUUAGCCACAAAAAUAGCACACAGUGCUUCAGGAAUCUCGAACCAAAACAAAUUCCGAUGCUCAGUAAAAUCUUUAGCAUGCACACUCUGCACGCGACGAUGAGCAAACAUAAAGGAAGAUCAACAUACAUGUGGAUAGAGUACAUAGCACACAGAUUUAUCUCAAAUAUAAUGACACAUAGACAUAGCUGUGUCUAUCCAAUAGCAGGUUCAAAUGUAGUGGAAGCAUCACAACUUUGGUUCAGAGAAAUAAAGGACAGCUGCAGCGACAAUGACCCACAAACUUAA
rnacentral:rRNA from 1 species